GGUCUCCCGCACAGUUGCAGGAUCCUAAGCUUUUGGACCACCCUCUACUGCUUUCCCAGGCCACAAGCAGGGAGCUGGAUGGGAAGCGGGGCUGCCAGGA